UUCCUCUGCCUGUUGCGGGGCGAUGAAAUGAAUAUGGGUGUCGAUGGCACCGGCGGUGAGGAUCUUGCCUUCACCGGCAAUCACAUCGGUACCGGGACCGAUCACAAUAUCAACACCGGGUUGAAUGUCGGGAUUGCCGGCCUUGCCGAUCCCGCUAAUGCGACCAUUCUUGAUACCCACAUCGGCCUUGAUGAUCCCCCAAUAAUCCAGAAUGAUCACAUUGGUAAUGACCAGAUCGGCGGUCUCGGCUGCGGGACGUUGCCCCUGGCCCAUUCCGUCACGAA
rnacentral:sRNA from 1 species